ensembl:lncRNA
CUUCCAACCAUGUCGUCUCUUAAACCCUUUAUGUCACAAUAACUGUAUUCUUAGAAUGUGAUCUCAUUCGGUGUUGGCUGCCUGUCUUCCACACACCACCACACUGAGAGAAUAGGUGAGAGGCUUGGGGAGAGAGGAGAGCAGAAGAACAGUCCAAUUUGUUCAAGGAAGUCAUCUCAGAAGAGCAUGACAUUACCACAAUGAUCAAAGGCUCAAGCAAAUAUUGGUCCAAAGCCCUUGGAUAGAUAAAUACAGCCACAGCCAGAGGCUGCCAGACAUGUAGCAUGGAUGGAGCUUACAGAAUGGAUGAGUGACUGUGCGAGGGGCCAGUAGCCAGAGGCCACAUGAUUAGCUGCCUUUGACAGAUGAAGAAACUAAGCGAGUGACAUAAGGUUGUCCAAAGUUAUCUAUUUGGUGUCACAGCCAUGAACAGAACUGGGCUUGCUGGCUUUCUCAUCUGAUGCUCUCGUCCUUCUGGUAACUACCAUGUGCUUUCCCCUGGCACAGCUGUCAUGAUUGAGUUAGUAUUUAUUCUGAGUCUUUUUCAAUGUUCACUACGGCAAAAAAGAUAACAUGUCAUUUUUCUUUCUUUCUUGAUGCCUCUAUUGCUUCAAGGGAAUAUAGUUUUAAUAUUCAAUAGUGACUAUUAAAUACAUCUAUUAAACAUGAUAUAUGACAAGAAAUCUAUAUCCUGCAUUCAGAAUUUUACUGUUAGCCAACAUUCUAAUACGUGUGUCAAUGUGGUGAGCUCACUGGAUCCUCCUGCCAGUCACCUUUUAACUACGUAACUCUCACAGUUUCUCAGGGCUGCAGGCAGGAGGAACUUGCUGCAUGUCAGAUUUGAUGCUCCUGUGUCCCUUUCUUGAUUCUGAACAAAGAACAGAAAGUAUUGGUAUCCUUAUAUGGUUGGUAACUGAUAAGCAGAACUCUGCUCCACAUUUUCAAAAGAAGUGAUGUUGUCAUGACCUGCCCUCAGGGUUCCAGCAGGGCUUCUUGUCACUCUACAAGAUCCCAGGGAACUGAUAAGUUCAUUACGAUCUCUUAGGUGUGCAGGCUGCCUUUAUGCACUUAGGGGGUGGUUCAGCAUAGUGGGGUCCAGCAGGAGUUCUGGAGUUGACAAAACUGAGCAGAUUCUUACUUUCUUGUUUACUAGUUGUGGGUUAUGGUCAAGCGACGUGUUUAAUGCCCAUUUGUGCUCACAUCAACAUGUAUUUUUUCAACAGAAUUUCUCAAAUGAAAAUCAUUUCACAUUCUUCUCAGAGAAAUGUCACAGCGAAAGGAAGAUGACUGGGAAGGAGUGGAUGACUAGGAAGUGCUUUCCUUAAGAAACAGGCAAGGCUCUCAAGACUGGACAUGGAAGCCAAGGAGCAGUGGAGCUUAAUUCCCUUCCUUCUUGGCUCUAGUGACGCUCUUCUCAUGAACUGAAUGAAGCUUAAGUGAUAGCGUGUUUUAGGAAUAUUCUCCUUAAACAUAUUUACCUCUUACGCUCUCUGAAUCCAUUCUCCGUCAUACUGUGCCUGCCCACGUGGAGCCUGCAGACACUGCACCAGCUGCCCCCACAGUCAGCCUCUAGUGAAAGCCCAGUCUCCCGUACCUCCCACCGCCCCAACCUCCAACGACUCCGCCUGACACGGCAUCACCGCCACCUCUCAGCCUUCCAGUGUGCUUGCUGUCUUCCCUAUUCUGAGGAAAGACCUGUAAUUGAGAGGGCUUUUUGAUACAACAACAUUUCAAGAAGGAGCUUCUGCUACUUUUCACACUGAUCUUCUGACUGAUGAACUUUGUGUGGCCCAAUAAAGCCAAACUACUUGCCGAGGAGCAUAAGGUUGAUUCAAAUCAGCAUCAGAAUCCACAAUCCUCUCUCACUCUGGGACCAUUCCUUAGUGGCUGAGCCCCCACAGGAACUUCUUGAAUAUAAGUAUUUUCAUCCUAUUAACUCGUUAGAAUAGCUUUAAAUGCUUCCAGAGAACUGCUAUGAUUCUAUUCUAUUCUGACCCAACCUAAUUACUGUUUUGUUCCUUUGCAGUUUGAAUUGACUUGUUUUUUGCUCAGCUCUCCUUCUUCUUUACUUA